GAAAUUGCCAAAAAUAGCUUAAAAAAGGAGGGUUAAAUGACUUUUGGGAUAGUUUUUGAAAAUAAAGAGUUUUAGGACAAUUUAUGUGUGAAUGGACAAAAAUGUCCUUCAUUAAAUUUCUCCUUCUCCUUCCCUUUCCCUUUCCUUUCUCUUCCACGUAAAAGCUUUCAACUUUCGCUUUCCCUUCUCUUUCGCGUAGAGUUGUUUCCUUUUCCAUUCUCUUUUGUGUAGAACACCUGAAGUAAAAAAAAAAAAAAAAAAAUCGCUCUGCUCCGAUACUUUGCUCUGCUCUAGUGUCGUUCGAAGAUACUCCGACCAUUCGUCUCUUGUCGUUCGUUGAUCCUCUAGUGCAUUUCGUCGCUCCUUCUUUUCAAACCAUUCAAUCAACUUUGAGCGUUUUCUCUUAUUUCGCAUAUGCGGAGGCCGUCUACCUAAUUGUAAAUCAGUCAGCUUGGAAGACAAGCGAAGACUAUCUACAUAUGAUUGUUUUACCUCCGAAAGUAGUCAAAAGAGUUGAAGUAAAGAAAUAGGUCACAACAGAUUAACGUGUACUAAUACAAUUUCAUAUACCGAGAAGUCCAGCAUACAAAUUUAAAAAUUUCUCUACCAAUGUACUAAUUAUUACACUAAUUAAUGAAUGUUCCUUUUCUUUCAA